GCUAGCUACAGGCUUAACACAUGCAAGUCGAGGCGUAGCAUGGUCUUAGCUUGCUAAGACUGAUGGCGACCGGCGCACGGGUGAGUAACACGUAUCCAACCUGCCGUCUACUCUUGGACAGCCUUCUGAAAGGAAGAUUAAUACAAGAUGGCAUCAUGAGUCCGCAUGUUCACAUGAUUAAAGGUAUUCCGGUAGACGAUGGGGAUGCGUUCCAUUAGAUAGUAGGCGGGGUAACGGCCCACCUAGUCUUCGAUGGAUAGGGGUUCUGAGAGGAAGGUCCCCCACAUUGGAACUGAGACACGGUCCAAACUCCUACGGGAGGCAGCAGUGAGGAAUAUUGGUCAAUGGGCGAGAGCCUGAACCAGCCAAGUAGCGUGAAGGAUGACUGCCCUAUGGGUUGUAAACUUCUUUUAUAAAGGAAUAAAGUCGGGUAUGCAUACCCGUUUGCAUGUACUUUAUGAAUAAGGAUCGGCUAACUCCGUGCCAGCAGCCGCGGUAAUACGGAGGAUCCGAGCGUUAUCCGGAUUUAUUGGGUUUAAAGGGAGCGUAGAUGGAUGUUUAAGUCAGUUGUGAAAGUUUGCGGCUCAACCGUAAAAUUGCAGUUGAUACUGGAUAUCUUGAGUGCAGUUGAGGCAGGCGGAAUUCGUGGUGUAGCGGUGAAAUGCUUAGAUAUCACGAAGAACUCCGAUUGCGAAGGCAGCCUGCUAAGCUGCAACUGACAUUGAGGCUCGAAAGUGUGGGUAUCAAACAGGAUUAGAUACCCUGGUAGUCCACACGGUAAACGAUGAAUACUCGCUGUUUGCGAUAUAAAGGCAAGCGGCCAAGCGAAAGCGUUAAGUAUUACACCUGGGGAGUACCCCGGCAACGGUGAAACUCAAAGGAAUUGACGGGGGCCCGCACAAGCGGAGGAACAUGUGGUUUAAUUCGAUGAUACGCGAGGAACCUUACCCGGGCUUAAAUUGCAGAUGAAUUACGGUGAAAGCCGUAAGCCGCAAGGCAUCUGUGAAGGUGCUGCAUGGUUGUCGUCAGCUCGUGCCGUGAGGUGUCGGCUUAAGUGCCAUAACGAGCGCAACCCUUGUUGUCAGUUACUAACAGGUUCCGCUGAGGACUCUGACAAGACUGCCAUCGUAAGAUGUGAGGAAGGUGGGGAUGACGUCAAAUCAGCACGGCCCUUACGUCCGGGGCUACACACGUGUUACAAUGGGGGGUACAGAGGGCCGCUACCACGCGAGUGGAUGCCAAUCCCCAAAACCUCUCUCAGUUCGGACUGGAGUCUGCAACCCGACUCCACGAAGCUGGAUUCGCUAGUAAUCGCGCAUCAGCCACGGCGCGGUGAAUACGUUCCCGGGCCUUGCACACA
rnacentral:rRNA from 1 species